rnacentral:rRNA from 1 species
AAUAGAUACCCUGGUAGUCCACGCCGUAAACGAUGGAUGCUAGCUAUUGGGGGGAAUCGACCCCCUCCGAAGCGAAGCUAACGCGUUAAGCAUCCCGCCUGAGUAGUACGAGCGCAAGCUUAAAACUCAAAGGAAUUGACGGGGACCCGCACAAGCGGUGGAGCGUGUGGUUUAAUUCGAUGGUAAACGAAGAACCUUACCAAGGUUUGACAUCCCGGUAGCCGUUCUCCGAAGGAGAAUCUCAUUUAGUUGGACCGGUGACAGGUGAUGCAUGGCCGUCGUCAGCUCGUGUCGUGAGAUGUUGGGUUAAGUCCCGCAACGAGCGCAACCCUUAUGAUUUAGUUGGAUUUUUCUAAACAGACUGCCCUGGUAACAGGGAGGAAGGAGGGGAUGAUGUCAGGUCAGUAUUUCCCUUACACCUUGGGGCGACACACGCGCUACAAUGGCCGGUACAAUGGGCAGCUAAGCCGCGAGGUGGAGCAAAUCCCAUCAAAGCCGGUCCCAGUUCGGAUUGCAGGCUGAAACCCGCCUGCAUGAAGCCGGAAUCGCU